GGAUGCCUCCGAAGUAGACUGAUAUGGAUAGAGAAAAACAACUCAUGCAGCUUUGACUGGUGUGAAAACAAAGUCAACUCUGAAUGUCAGUGCAGACAUUCCCUGUGUGACAAUAGACACGAACUUAAUGGAGACAACAGAAUGGUGAACCCUGGGAAGUCAAUUACAUGGCAACAGAUGCAAUCCCACAGCCGUAACCAGGGUAGGCAGACCGCACUAUAGCAGCCCACCAUCACCUUGCCUUUAGGACUGAUCGUGAAGAAGAGAAGAAGAUGAUCCCGAUACUGCCCAGAAGCAGGCAGGAGCCAGUGAAGGAAAAGAGAUCUUAUGGGGAGCCAUGCUUCUGGAGUUAUUGCUCCAUAAAGUUAGGAUGGCCCCAGAGAGGGGCAGAGACUGGGAGAGACCUGGAUGAAAGGGAGGGGGAGUGAUGUGGCCCAGAGCAGGAAAGUGGAGAAGAACUGUGAUGGCUGGAAUGAUGGAGAGGUGAACAGUGGCUGGAUGCUAAAUUAAGAAGAGUUUCAACAAGCAGAGAUCGACUCCAUUUUGAGGACUUGUCAGUAUAAACAAGGUAUAAACAAAACCAGAGAAACAUGGGAAA